rnacentral:rRNA from 1 species
UACAGGGGGGGCAAGCGUUGUUCGGAAUUACUGGGCGUAAAGGGCUCGUAGGCGGCCAACUAAGUCAGACGUGAAAUCCCUCGGCUUAACCGGGGAACUGCGUCUGAUACUGGAUGGCUUGAGAUUGGGAGAGGGAUGCGGAAUUCCAGGUGUAGCGGUGAAAUGCGUAGAUAUCUGGAGGAACACCGGUGGCGAAGGCGGCAUCCUGGACCAACACUGACGCUGAGGAGCGAAAGCGUGGGGAGCGAACAGG